AUGAGGUUGUCUGUGGUGAGUCUUUUAUCAAGGGUUGGUGUUUUCAACCUAGAAAUAGCUACUUUGGUUGUUGUUGAUGCAUCAACAAACAUGUACUUUUCCUAGGAUAAACAUUGCUUCAAGUAACAUCCAAAACACAUAAAAAACACUUAAUGUCACAUUUACUAUUAGCAAUGAAAUUUUUCACAAUGUAUCAUUGGUGGUAGAAACCCUGUAUACAAGCAUUUUAUAAGUAUUUGAGCUUUCUUUAUGGUUUUGUGCCACUUGAUGUUCACUCUCUUUUAGCUGAGAUUCCUGAGGAUUAUUUUUUUAUUUUUUUUAAUCCAUAGUCAUUAGUAACAGAUGAAAGAAUAUCAAUCUGAAGUCUCAACUUUAAUCAGGCAAAGUAGUCUUAAUAUUUUUUUAAUGCAUUCG
rnacentral:misc_RNA from 1 species